CUUGCCAAAUGAACUUUUGAAAAGUUAACGACCACUUUGCAAACGAUUUCAAAUCAAUUUUCAAUUGAUUAAACGUCAUUGAACUACAACAAAAGUUUAAAUGCAAACACAUUUGUAUGUUCAUGGGAGUGCGAGUAAACAUAUUACAACACAAGCCACAAGCUACUGAAUAAAAUCAAACAAAGUCCAAUGACACGAGGAUGUGUUACGGCAUUUGUCAAUGACAAAUACGAGUAUAAUGGAGCAAUUGAACUCAAAUUACGUAGAAUUCCAGUAGGUAUCAUACUAUAUAUGUAUGUAUAUGUACUAAAUACCCUCGUGCAGUGGUGGAGUUUCUAUGUAUGUGAAAUUAAAACUCUCAGUUUAGUUGCGACUAAAAUAAGAUUGGACCGACCAGUAGACCAAUAAUUGAUGUAUAAACCGUUUGAUGGUGAUGAGAAAUAAUAUUGGACUUCCAGUUUGAUGGAAUGACACAUCUUUAAUAAGGAAGCAAUUUUCUUUCCACUUUUCUCCACUGCGUCAGCUAAAUCUUCAAUUUUGGACUUUCACUUUUACCUUACUGCUAGAAGAAGAUUAGAAAGAAGCUACCCGAACAAAGUCUGAACUUACUUUUUAAUAUUAAUUAAUUAAUUAUUAAUGGGCUUGGUAGUAAAAAAAUCAAAGGACGAACAAAGCCAACUGGACUUCUAAUCCACAAAUUUUCGGAGAUGAGCAAAUGCAAAGAUCGAAACAUAUAUUUCUUUCACUAAAAGCAACAAUUUUAUACUAAAAUGCUUAACAAAUUAUUCAAUUAGCGACUCCAUCCUACUCUGCUUCAUCGAGUAAUUCCGUUGUUCGGUAAUUUUGAAUUGCAACAACACCACCAACAUAACCGUCCAAAUUCAUUAUCGGAUUCUUCGUUAUGGCCAUGAGAAACAUUGCGACCUCCUUUUGUGUCGCACUAUCCACCGCCGUGAGAUCCACAUUGAAGAGCUUUGUUUGAAAAUCCAAACCGACAC